AUACGGAGGAUCCGAGCGUUAUCCGGAUUUAUUGGGUUUAAAGGGUGCGCAGGCGGCCAUUUAAGUCAGCGGUUAAAUCGUGGGGCUCAACCCCAUUCUGCCGUUGAUACUGGGUGGCUUGAUUGCGGUCGAGGUUGGCGGAAUUCGUUGUGUAGCGGUGAAAUGCAUAGAUAUGACGAAGAACACCGAUUGCGUAGGCAGCUGACCAGACCGCAAAUGACGCUCAUGCACGAAAGUGCGGGGAUCGAACAGGAUUAGAUACCCUGGUAGUCCGCACAGUAAACGAUGAAUACUUGUUUUCGGCGAUAUAAUGUCGGAGGCAAAGCGAAAGCGAUAAGUAUUCCGCCUGGGGAGUACGCCGGCAGCGGUGAAACUCAAAUGAAUUGACGGGG
rnacentral:rRNA from 1 species